rnacentral:misc_RNA from 1 species
AAGUCGUAACAAGGUUUCCGUAGGUGAACCUGCGGAAGGAUCAUUACAGAGAACUUGCCCUUCGGGGUAGAUCUCCCACCCUUUGUUUACAUUACCCUUGUUGCUUUGGCAGGCCCGUCUCUCGGGACCGCCGGCUUCGGCUGGCUCGCGCCUGCCAGAGGAUCUCAAACUCUUGUUUAAUCGUCGUCUGAGUAAUAUUUAAUAAGUUAAAA